rnacentral:rRNA from 1 species
UACGUAGGUGGCAAGCGUUGUCCGGAAUUAUUGGGCGUAAAGCGCGCGCAGGCGGUCCUUUAAGUCUGAUGUGAAAGCCCACGGCUCAACCGUGGAGGGUCAUUGGAAACUGGAGGACUUGAGUACAGAAGAGGAAAGCGGAAUUCCACGUGUAGCGGUGAAAUGCGUAGAGAUGUGGAGGAACACCAGUGGCGAAGGCGGCUUUCUGGUCUGUAACUGGCGCUGAGGCGCGAAAGCGUGGGGAGCAAACAGG